AAUGAACGCUGGCGGCAUGCCUAACACAUGCAAGUCGAACGAUGCCUUCGGGCAUAGUGGCGCACGGGUGCGUAACGCGUGGGAAUCUGCCUUUCGGUUCGGAAUAACUCAGGGAAACUUGAGCUAAUACCGGAUAACGUCGCAAGACCAAAGAUUUAUCACCGAAAGAUGAGCCCGCGUAGGAUUAGCUAGUUGGUGAGGUAAAGGCUCACCAAGGCGACGAUCCUUAGCUGGUCUGAGAGGAUGAUCAGCCACACUGGGACUGAGACACGGCCCAGACUCCUACGGGAGGCAGCAGUGGGGAAUAUUGGACAAUGGGCGAAAGCCUGAUCCAGCAAUGCCGCGUGAGUGAUGAAGGCCUUAGGGUUGUAAAGCUCUUUUACCCGGGAAGAUAAUGACGGUACCGGGAGAAUAAGCCCCGGCUAACUCCGUG
rnacentral:rRNA from 1 species